GACGAACGCUGGCGGCGUGCUUAACACAUGCAAGUCGAACGGAAAGGCCCUGCUUUUGUGGGGUGCUCGAGUGGCGAACGGGUGAGUAACACGUGAGUAACCUGCCCUUGACUUUGGGAUAACUUCAGUAAACUGGGGCUACUACCGGAUAUGAGCUCCUGCUGCAUGGUGGGGGUUGGAAAGUUUCGGCGGUUGGGGUUGGACUCGCGGCUUAUCAGCUUGUUGGUGGGGUAGUGGCUUACCAAGGCUUUGACGGGUAGCCGGCCUGAGAGGGUGACCGGCCACAUUGGGACUGAGAUACGGCCCAGACUCCUACGGGAGGCAGCAGUGGGGAAUAGUGCACAAUGGGCGGAAGCCUGAUGCAGCAACGCCGCGUGCGGGAUGACGGCCUUCGGGUUGUAAACCGCUUUCGCCUAUGACGAAGCGUGAGUGACGGUAAUGGGUAAAGAAGCACCGGCUAACUACGUG
rnacentral:rRNA from 1 species